ACAUGUAAUAUUAGGCUGGUGCAAAAUUUAUUACGGUUUUUGCAUUUAAAAGUAAUAGCAAAAACCACAAUUACUUUUGCAGCAAUCUAUAA
rnacentral:miRNA from 10 species